AAAAUUAAAAAAAAAAAGUAAUUAAAUCAAUCGCAGAAGAAUUCAUCGCAAGAAGAAGAGAAUUGAAUGAAAACCAAAGGGGUUGGGAUUCAAACUGUAAAUUUGUUCAUUUACAGUCUUGCUUCGCCCUUUCUUCGAAACGUCUUUAAUGUAAUUACAGAAGUAGGAAGUAAGAUGAAUGCAAAUCCACGACGUGGCUGGCUCGGUAAUCUCGUCGAAUCUAUUUUUUUUUUUUUCUUUUUCGCAAGAAAAGGAUUUGCACUGGGGAAAAUUAGUCUGCCACUCUUCUGUGAUUUAAUGUUAGAAACUCGUUCGAGGGAGAAGAGAAUCGCGUUUGCUUAAUUACUCGGUCGGUAUCGCUUUCUUCGAUCGAGGCCAGUCAGUCAGUCAGUCAGUCAGUCGAUCUCACAACUAUCGUAUCAUAAAAAUAUCCGAGAACAGGCGUCAAAGUUCUUCCAACUUUGUUCCGCGAUUUUUUCCUUCGAUUCAUUCUCCAACGGCUUAUUCGAUUUUUCCAGAACGAUUUAUGGGAAAGAGAAGUUUAUUCAACGGGUUGAAAAGUUCGAGUAAAUUCUUAUUUACGAAGGGAAAAGUUUGAGGAAAUCAUCGCCUGGUUGGAAUAGCCAGUGGUAUCGGGGGAUAUAUGGCCAGGCAUAUUGUUAUCGGCGAUAUAUACGAUUGGAAUGGUUGAAAAUGAAGAUGGUUUUUUCGUGAAUAUGAAAUGAUUGAAAAAUAGAUGAAUAGUUUGAAUUAGUACACACUUUGUCGUUAAUUACAAAUUUAUCGACAGAAUAAAGAUCGAUCGGUAAGUACAAAUAUCGUCAAUCGGUAAGUUUAAAUUAAAUUUCAAGUAACAAUAAUUCGAUAUCGAUGAAAAUAUUUACGAAUAAUUUCAAAGUAUUGUCAAUAAAUAUUUAUUCUGAAAUAAUUAAUAUUAAUAAAAGUUUGAAUCAACGUGGCCUGGUAUAUCUCCUUAAUUAAUAAUUAAUAAUAAACUAUCAGACACGUAUGAGUGGAAUUAUUCAUCGAUGCUGUAAAUUCAAGCUAUACAGUCUAUAUAUAUCAAUUCAUGCGUAUGAACACGUAUGCAAUAUUGAAACUUAAACAUGCCUUUUAAUUUAACCGCUUUUGGGUACUUUUAGCACAAUCGAAAAAAAAAAAAAAUACUCUUGGAAUAUAAUAGUUCAUUCAAUAAUUCAAAAUUAUUCUUUUCGAGACAAUAAUUGUCACAAAUUGUUCAUCAAAAUAGAUUUAAAGAAAUGUAUAAGAAUUCUUCAAAGUCUGUUUACAUGAAAAUUGUUGUUAUGCGCCAUACCCGCCUCUGGUUAUAAUUUUACUGUUUGGUUUAUAAACCGCAAUUAAAGGGUUUUAAUUAUUCCAAUGGUCAGCAGUCAGUUCAAUUUCAGACGAAAUACAACAAUUAAGAUAAAACGUUGCAAACGUUCUCAUUAAACUUUACAACAAUCAACGUAUAACCAAAUUGAAAGCGAACAAAAACAAGCGGACGAGAAUACUAAUACGUCUCCUUUUUUCUCGUCGGCAGUAGUAUAGACCAUUAUAUAACGCGCCAAAUGGGAUCUUUUAAAAACUUCUCUUCUCCGUUCUACGUGCAAUUAUUCUCAGCGUUAUUUAUCGCGCUAUCCGUUCAUCGAAAUCCAUUUAUUGAAAGUAUAAAUAUUUGUAUUCAAUUAGCUUGAAAAUUUAAAAAAAAAAAAAAAAAAAAAAUUCUAGACGCGAAAAUCACACUCGAGAGAGAAAAUUGGAGGAGGAUGAAGGAGUUUUUAUGGAUUUGGGUAGCCAUCUUGGGAACGAUCUCGAGGAGGAAAAAUCGUGAGGGAGAAUUAACGCAAUCGUGGGCGUGGAGAUCCGUUGGUGGAAAAUUAAGAAGAGUGUCCUUCGGGGGCGGGGCGGGGCAAGAAUACAGGAGAAAUCAUUAGCCGAAGGGGAGCUUUCCACGCAGAGCUGCUUCCACUGUUCUUGGAGCACCCGUUAACAACUCCCCUUUCACUUCGCCCCUUCCAACUCCAUUUUCUUCCGGUUCUUCUCGCCCUCACCAUCCUAUUACACUUUUAUCUCGGCCCGUUAAUGGAGCAUCGAACGUGCACCGAGUAAUUUCCCAAAUAUCCCUAGCAAUAUAUGAUAUUGGCUUGUUCGAAAGUAACUUCAUUUUUUUCACACCAAGUGUCGCUAGUUUAUCCAGCCAACUUCAUUCUGAACCGAGAGGUGAACGUGAAUGUGGCGUGUCUUUGAUGGAUCGAGGUAUCGUGAUCGAAGGUAUCAAUUGCAAAGCAAACUGGAAAUUGGAGAAUUGACUUUUUAAGUGUUCGAUAAGAAUUCGAUAGCUCGAACAGUUCAAAGUUUAAAUUUAGAGAUUUAUCAUACAUGGCUCGGAUGAUCUUUUGUUGUUGUUAAAUUGAACUUGAGAAAUCAAUUGUGAAUUAAUAUCUGAACGUCCAAUGCUAGAACGGAAAUUAGUUCUCAGUUUCAAAAAUUCCAACUCUUGAUCAAAAUCAUACUCAACAUCAUUCUGAUCUACGAUCGUUUGUGCUUUGAAUUUGGAUCGCAGGCUAUUCGUUGUUCGGAAAGUAAUUCUGUUUCUUCAUACCAGUGUCGCUAGUCGAACAUUUAUGCAGCCAACUUCAUUCUAAACAGUGCUGCCAUUAUAUAUUUUGGCAUUUCAUGGUUCAUUUGUAAGAAAAAUUCGUUCGAUUGUGUGUUUUUCGCGGGUGAUGACAAAUAUGCGAGAUCGAAAGGUGUAUUUUCGGCAUAUUUUACUUUUUUGUUAUGGAAAAGGUAAAAAUGCUGUUCAGGCAAGAAAAAAGUUACGUCAAGUCUAUGAACCGUGCGCCAGUGUGAAAAGUGCUUUUUAAAAUUUCGUUCCGACAAUUUCGACGUUAAAGCUUGUCACGUUUUUGGAAGACCAAUAAAAUUUCGAAGCCGACGAAUAACGACUCGAGAAAUCGCCAUAAGAUCGAACUCCUCGAAUUCGAUCGUUCGUGAUCGCGUGAAACGACUCGGUGUUUCAUUAUCGUGAAAAUUAUCCCGUAAUUUAACGUUAUUCAACCAUAUUUGAUUCUAUCGAGUAUAAUGAGAAUAAAUUUAUAAUCCCAAUUAAAAAAUUAUGCAUAUCGCAUGGCGCUAAAAAGUUCAUCAAACUGUAAACGAAAAGAUAAAAUUCAAUCUUUUAAUAAUUAUUAUUAAAUCAUAACGAAUUGUUAUUAACAGUGAUAAUAAAGAAGGAGAUGAAUUAUAAUUUUAAAAUUCGUAUCUCUUGUGAGAUCUAGAAGAAGAAAGCUUCGAGAAAAAGAAAAUAAUUAUACGCGAGAAUAAUUAAUUUAAUGCUUCUCAUAAAGCAGGGAGGAGGGGGAAUCAACUAUCCUCGUCUGUCUCACGCUCGAAGAGGCUCCGUUUCGAGGAAACGUUAUCGUUGAAAUACGAGCGAAUUGAGAAUGUUAUUUCUAAAAAUAAUAGUAGCUAUAAACAGAAAACUAAAUAACUGAAUUCUUUGUUGACUAAAUUCAAUUAUUGCGUUUACGCGGUCAAACGAAUAAAUACGCGAAAUAGAUAGAUAGAUAGAUAGAGAAAAAGGAGAAAAUUUUUUUCUUCUUAGAAUCGUAUUGGAUUUCGAAGGCAGUGAAAAUAAGAAGAGCGGACAUUCUCUCGUGCAAGCUUCAAAAUAAACACUCCUAACGGUGGUCGUUAGCCGAAUAACAAGAAACGGGCACGGGGUCGAUGGGGAGUAGUGGGGGAAAGACGGUGAAAUAUGCGAAAACCGAGACCCUUUUCUCCCUUUUCUUUCUUUCUUUCUUUCUUUUUUUUUCUUUUUCGCCCCCAUCGUAACGGAACAACCGUUUUGCCCGACACGACGAAACCGCUAAGGGAAAUUAAGAGCCGAGAGGGGAAAAAGAGAAGCGAGUCACGAGGCUGACUGACCUUCGACCAAAAAAAAAAAAAAAAAAGGAGGAAGGAAAAAACAUAGCCGUUUUUCCCUGGAAAAUAUCAGAUCCCCGCUUGAAAUGUCUGUUUCCGAAUUAAUUCUUGUCGCAAUGUUGCCAACAGUUCUGGAAUGAGUUUUGGAAGGGCGAUGAAGAAAUUUAUCCCGACACGAGAAGAAUUUUUCACAGAGUUAUUAUUAUUCAACGAAAUAUAAUUUGAAAUUUCGUUCAUUGGUCGAAUGUUGUCGAUUCUAUUUCAUGCAAGAUUGAUUUUAGGAUUGAUAUAUAUGGAAGAAAUUUUAUCGAAAGAAUCUAGAUUUUCUUCUUCUUCUUCUUUUAAGGAUCUCUUAUUUCGAGUAUCGAAUUGUUCGAAUCGAAGAGAAAUAUUCCAAUUUUUUUUUUAUGGUGAAAUUAAUACACGCUUCGUUAUAAAUAGAAAAAAGAAAAAAUUUUAACGAUUAAAUAGAGAAGUUUAAAUUUUUUUAUUUGAAAACAUCGUCUAUCAUUAUUAUAUUUUCAAGAUUUAAUUUCUCUACAUGAUGUAUGAACAAAUAUUACAUGUCUGUGUUAUUUCAAUUCUUCAAGCUUUCAGUAUCUUCUCAAUGUUGAAAAGUACUUGGAUAGAAAUUUUUAAACUCUAAAAUAAAAUACAAAAACUUUCUUAAAUAAAAUUUAUCAAAUAGUCCAUAGAUAGAAGAAGAAGGAAGUGUUAUUUCACGAAAUUUCUAUCCCAUUGAAUUUUUCAUUAUUAAUCCCCUGACAAACGUAAUAAUAGAAUAUUCCCUUCAAUAAUAACUAACCUACUUCACAAAUAUGAAGGAAUAUAAAGGAAAAUUGGAAAAAGAAAUCCUAUUCUACAUAUUCUCUGAUAGAUUCUUGGACGAUGGAUCCUUUUUGCCUUCUCUCCCCCGCCUCCAUUUUUUGAAUUUGUAACAAUUCAAUCCAUGGAAAGAUGUUUAAAGGUGUAAGUGUCAACCCUGCCGUGAAAUCGAGUCAAUUAAAAGGAGGAGGAGAAGAAGCUUUGAGGACGUAACAAUCUAUUUGUAAUCGAGCUGAACUCGUUAAAUUCAAGGUGAUCGUGGUGAAUACUAUUAUCCAAGCGUCGAUAAUCGAUUUUCUUUUCUUUCUCAGGCAAGUAGAAGUAAUAAGUUUGGAAGAUAAUAAUCAGGUAAAAAAGAUAAAAAUGAACAUUUGAUCAAAACUAUUAAUGAUGGUAUAAUAAAAUAAGAGAUUAAAACUGUCUUAAGUAUGAAUUACAUUUGAUAUUCUAACCCAGUUCUUUUUAAUCCAGCUCAGCCUGUAAUUUAGAAAUCCUAGAAAUCAGAAUUAUCAUCGUAUCUGGAAUAAUCUGAAGCUAAUUCAAACCUGGCCUUUUAGAAUUUAGAAAGUUGGAUAUCUGACAUCUUGUUCGUACAGGUUAAGUUUGAGAGAGAAAAAAAGAAAGAAAGAAAGAAAGAAACAUUGACAUUCUCGAGAAAUAGGAUUUAUCAUCCGGGAUCUCUGGCAAUCUCCAGACGGUACGUGACUUAUGAGUUAUUCAUAAGAUUCAGGGAACAUGCUCCUCGUAUCUUCCAUACCCUGGUGACAAUCUGCUGCGAACAUCGGCAACAUCUUCAAAGUCCAUGCAUCAACCUAACCGUUCCUCUGCAUCGAGAACCCUUUUCAUGAGUUUUCUUUUUCUUUUCAAGGUUGACCAAUCAUCGGCACAAUGUGACGAGCAUGGAAGAAUAAGAAGUGAAUCGUUGAAAGCUCUUCUCUGAGGAGCAUCAAAGAUAGAGUGCAGAGUUGCUCCUAACUUUUGCAGGAAAAUUUAAGGGAAGAUUUUUAUCUCGUUAAGUAAUAAUCCUUAUUUGAGACUCAGUUCAUGGCAUUGAAGAAUAUUAAAACGUAUCAAAGGUAAAGUUAAUCAUGGAUAACCAGGGAUAAGAGGAAUUGUCAGGAAGAAAAUGAAGAAGAGAUGUAUUGUUUUUGUUUUCUUGUAUAUAUAAUUAUCUAUUUUUGUUAAAAGAGAGGAACCUGUCUGUUUUCUGAAGAUAUCUCUUAGAAAAAAUAUUUUAUUAAGUAAUAAUCCUUAUUUGAGACUCAUCUUAUGGCAUUGAAGAAUAUUAAAACGUAUCAAAGGUAAAGUUAAUCAUGGAUAACCAGGGAUAAGAGGAAUUGUCAGGAAGAAAAUGAAGAAGAGAUGUAUUGUUUUUGUUUUCUUGUAUAUAUAAUUAUCUAUUUUCGUUAAAAGAGAGGAACCUGUCUGUUUUCUGGAGAUAUCUCUUAGAAAAAAUAUUUUAUUAAGUAAUAAUCCUUAUUUGAGACUCAUCUUAUGGCAUUGAAGAAUAUUAAAACGUAUCAAAGGUAAAGUUAAUCAUGGAUAACCAGGGAUAAGAGGAAUUGUCAGGAAGAAAAUGAAGAAGAGAUGUAUUGUUUUUGUUUUCUUGUAUAUAUAAUUAUCUAUUUUCGUUAAAAGAGAGAAACCUGUCUGUUUUCUGGAGAUAUUUCUUAGAAAAAAUAUCUUAAAUAAUAAUCCUUAUUUAAGACUCAUCUUAUGGCAUUGAAGAAUAUUAAAACGUAUCAAGGGUAAAGUUAAUUAUGGAUAACUAAGGAUAAGGAAUGAGAGAAGUUGUAAGGAAGAUAAUGAAGAAGAGAUGUGUUGUUUAUGUUUUCUAAAUAUAUAAUUAUCUAUUUUUGUUAAAAGAGAGAAACCUAUCUGUUUUUUUGUAGAUAUUUCUUAGAAAAAAGGAUAAAAAAGGAAGAGGAAGAAAUAUAUAUAUACAUGUGUGUGUAUAAAAGAUGGAAUAAACCAUAUUUUGCAUACUGCAAGAUGCUGGAAGAUAGAAGGAUAAAAAUUAAAAAAAUUGGGGGAGAAACAGGGCGCGUUACCGCUAAUGAAAUACAAAAUCCAAAAGCCUGGCAGGGAAGAGAAGAACAGGAUUCAAUCUGUAUUAGCAACCCUCCACCCUUAUUUCCCUCGAGGUUCGUUACAAAGCAGAAGCUUGAUGAUGCCGGUAUAUCCUUCCAAUAAACGGAGCUAUUCUCCUUGGAGGGCGGGAUCUUUCCCCUUUUCUGCCAAAGGUUCUUCUGGAAACCAACAGCCACCAACGCUUGCUUAUCGAUAAAUUCAUCGUGCAUCCGCCAGAGGAAUAUUUCUAACGCGAAUAUUUCCAACAGUUAAUUAUAUCUUUUUACAGAUAUUGCGGUGUUUAAUAUCCGAGGGAAACCGAUAAAAUAUUCAAUUAUUAUUCCCCUCUCGCCUCGCUAAUCAAUCAUUUAUGUCGAUUGCUUAAUUUUUUUAUUUGUUAUUUAAUCCCAGAAAGGUCAAUAUUUGAAGACGGUGUGAAUGAAGCUCAUAUGCAAAAAAUUAAAAAAAAAAAAAAAAAAAAUAGAAAGAAAUGUAUUCCUGAGAAUUAUC